UGAUAUUUAACCUUUUACAUCCAGGAUGGAAUAGGAAAUCUGGAUCUUUCUUUACCUCCAUAAAAGCCCUGCUAAGAUAUUCCAUCACUAUAGCAAAUAAGAAGGGGGAGACUAGGUCACCUUGCCUCAAUCCUUUAGCUGCUUGAAAGGGUUCAGUAGUUUCCCCGUUAACCAUGAUUGUAUAGCUCACUGUCUGGACACAUUCCAGAAUCCACCUUAUGAAUUUGCC
rnacentral:lncRNA from 1 species